AGGGUUUGAUCUCCGGCUCAGAACUAACGCUGGUGGCGUGUCUUAGUCAUGCUAGUCGCACGAGAACGUACCCUUCGGGGUGCUAGUACAGUGGCGGACGGGUGAGUAACACGUGGGCAACCUGCCUUCGAGCGGGGGAUAACCCUUCUAACGAGGGGCUAAUACCGCAUAACACUUUCGUGUCGCAUGUUACGAUUGUCAAAGGUGGCCUCUACUUGUAAGCUGCCGCUUGAAGAUGGGCCCGCGCUCCAUUAGCUUGUUGGUGAGGUAACGGCUCACCAAGGCUACGAUGGAUAGCCGGCCUGAGAGGGUGAUCGGCCACACUGGAACUGAGAUAAGGUCCAGUCCCCUACGGGGGCCAGCAGUCUAGAAAUUUGCGCAAUGAACGAAAGUCUGACGCAGCGACGCCACGUGGAGGAUGAAGCCUUUCGGGGUGUAAACUCCUGUCAGAAGGGAAGAACGCAGCGGGUUCAACAGACCCGCUGUUUGACGGUACCUUCAGAGGAAGCUCCGGCUAACUUCGUGCCAGUUAGUCGUG
rnacentral:rRNA from 1 species